AUUGAACGCUGGCGGCAGGCCUAACACAUGUAAGUCGAACGGGUGGCGGACGGGUGAGUAAUGUCUGGGAAACUGUCCGAUGGAGGGGGAUAACUACUGGAAACGGUAGCUAAUACCGCAUACCAUCGGAUGUGCCCAGAUGGGUUUAGCCAGUAGGUGGGGUAACGGCUCACCUAGGCGACGAUCCCUAGCUGGUCUGAGAGGAUGACCAGCCGCACUGGCCCGGACGCACGGUCCCGACUCCUACGAGAGGCAGCAGUGGGCACGAUUGCACAGUGGGCGCAAGCCUGAUGCAGCCAUGACGCGGGUAGGAAGAAGUCCUUCUGGUUGUAAAGUACUUUCAGCGAAGAGACAUUGCCCGCAGAAAAAGCACGCGCUAACUCCGUGCCCGCAGCCGCGGAAAUAC
rnacentral:rRNA from 1 species